CACAUUCGAGCUCACUCGGUCACUUUAACGCUUAUGUGCACGAAGUGAAGGCGGGGAGGAGUUGGUUUGCUUAGGCUGAUUAGCAACAAACAGAAGGUUGUGAGUUUAAAAUUUGGAUUAUUUCACCUCCGGAGUGGAUUUUGCCGUCACCGAAACGGUCGUUGGAGGUGGCGAUGGUGAGCUGAUAGCUGCGUCAUCAUGUUGCUUCCGACUCGAGUUGGCCGAAAGAAAUCUCAAGUUAACGCCACCCGCAGUGAUUCGGCUCCGAAGGCCACUCCCGACCACCUGAGGGGCAAAGUUCCGUCCUAUCUAUCAGGGUAUACAAGGCAAGUCACGAUGGCCGUGAAGGCGACGACGUGCUGCCCAAAGCCGUGGUCGGGUGUCGCCGACGAAAGGAGCUGGUCGCCGAACUUCGAGUGGAUCGACGGGCUUCUCUACCGAAAGAAGCUGGAGAGGGGCUUCCUCAACUACCGAGAGGUUUUGGACGAGGAUCGCAGACUGGAGGCAGUCGCCACAUUUCACCGGCGACCCCCCGGCAAGCGUCACCUCUCCCUGGAGGAGACGUACAAAUGCGUGGCCGACAACUACUGGUGGGAGGGGAUGUACUUCCACAUCAGAGACUUUGUCCUGGACUGUCCCGAAUGUCAAAGCCAGCGACGCAAGAAGACAGAGGAGCUGGGCGGCCAAGGAUGUGUCACGAAGACGGUGGCGUCGCACAGCUCUGACAUGCUCAGCAAGCUGAAGAGUCAGCGGGAGGCGGGGAUGUUUUGCGACAUCACUGUGCGCACUAACGGGCAGUCCUACGCCGCGCACAGAGCCGUGCUGGCAGCCGUCAGCGACCACUUCCAGGAAAUUUUUACAGAGAUGGACUCCAGUAUAAAGGCAGACAUAGAUCUUACUGGCUUCAGCGAGGACAGCCUCUUGUCUCUGCUGGACUUCUCCUACUCCUCCACCCUGUGUGUGCGCUGGGAGGACCUCCCUGAAGUUAUCACCAUGGCCCGGCACCUUGGCAUGUGGCCUGCUGUGGAGGCCUGCUCUGCUCUCAUGAAAGAGCACCGCCACAUUGUUCAUCCUAGCCGGGACUUCAAAUUGGGCUAUGGUGGCAUUUGCAGUCAGCGCCACCACCAGAAGACAGAAACCAAAAGGAAAAGGGAAUUAGAAGAAAACUUUGGCAGUUUCCACCUAACACUGGAUACAUCUGACGAAGGGAGUCCGAGCUGCAGUUUGCGAAGGACACCAAAUGUUAGCGUUUAUAACAGACUCCCUGUGAGUCCCUCACACAGGAUGAAGCUUAUGGACUUCAAAUCUCCUUCCUCCAAGAAGAGCGGAGCAUCCAAAAAUAUCAUUGGAACUCAACAGUCAAAGACUUACUCUCCCAUAUCUCCAUCCAACACCCGUCUACUCCGUUCAAGUCCUGGUGCUGCUCAGCAGGUUCAGAGAUUGAUGCCCAAGCCAGAAAGUCCUCGACGAAACCGGAAGCCUUGCACCCCCAGAUCCAGUCCGAUUUGUAGCCCUGUCAGGGUGAAGCAGGAAGUGGAAGAGGUGAGAGUGGAUGAGGAGGACUAUGCAAGAGCCCAGGAGAAGUACAAACUGAUGUUGGUUCUCGGCCUGCAGAGGACCGCCCUUCUCCCUCGACCGGAAGAUUUAAUUGGUUGGAGGCAGAAGAAACGACUCAGGAAGCUAAAAGCCAACAACUACUCGCUAACCAAGAGGCGGAAACCCCGCUCCGCUCCCCCAGUACUACCUUACAGGCCUGUGACACUGUCUCUUCCCCUCUGUGACCCUGUAAAUAGUCUCCUACUCAACAAGGCGGGGAAGACCAAGUCUGGGGCUUCAGCUGUCAUUGAAGGAAUAUCAAAGAGACAUAAUCGCAACAAACAAGUCCCUCCUAGCGACAGGAGCAUGCGAAGUAAAGGUGCCUUACCGGAUAUGUUCCAACCGACAUCCCAGCCUGGCUUCAGUGGGAGAGAGCUCAGACGGUCUGUGAGAAAUUGUGGUCGCGUCCAUCCUCCUGUCCAGCAGCCCCUGCGUCGUAUCUCCAAGAAAAUUCCAGUUAGGAACACAGUCAGGAUCAAAUCAGAACCAGCUGAAUACUCCGUCUCAGGGCUCUCUCUCGCAUCAAUCAAUCAACCUUCUCAGAGGAAACAGGCCAGGAGUAAUGUCACUGUCGAGGCAGUCAAGACACUGCGCUACAACAGCAGCCGUCCGGGGACAAAAGCCAAGCCCAAGCGGGGCAGCACAAGAGAGGAGGAGAAGCCACGGGGCAGACCCAGGAAAGUAUUGAGGGAGGAGAUGGACACUGAGGGACAAGUAAAGAGCGAACAACCCGCUGGUGGGUUCCAAUUCUCUGAGCACUCGCCUCCCCCGGCCAUUUACAACCACCCUCUGUACAAAGUCAUCAAAGAGGAACCUGCGGAUCCUGUGCCAGUUGGCGGCCCUUUUUUGGAUCCUCCCUCUCCAGACCUGGGUAAGCGCCAGAGCAAGCCCCCCAUCAAACUGCUGGACUCUGGCUUUUUGUUCAGCUUCUGUCGGCCGUCCGGGGCACCCAUCGUGGGGAUAAAGAAAGAGGAAGAGAGCGUGGAUAUCUGUUUGACACGUUCUGUGUCCCAAGUCGGUGAGAAAUUUGGAAUGGUUCAAUCCAACCACAGGGCACUGAGAGCCAGAGGACCACUGCCCGCCUUGCCAGUGGUGAAGAGGGAGAGGGAGGAGAGGAGUGUGAGCCAGAGGAGGGUCCAAAGACUCAGGGCCAACUCACGGGAAAACUCUAGUCUGGCCAGAUCCAGAGGGGCAAAGGCCACACGGGUCAUACCAAAGCAAGAGGCUACCGGCGUCCCAGUGAGCAGCAGGGGCUGCGUCGUGUUGGACUCCGUUCGCCGAGCAAGGCUAAAGCAGCUGCGGGGCCCACGCAGCCAGGCCCCGAAAGCCCCGAAGGCGGCGCACUCCUGCAUGCAAUGCUCCACCUCCUACCGGGACUGCGACGCUCUCAUCAUGCAUCGCCUGCGGCACAUUGAGGGCAAGCACUGGCCGUGUCUGCUUUGCAGUAAGACGUUCUUUCGACUGAGGAAUGUACGGAACCACAUCCGCACCCAUGACCCCAAGUUGUACAAAUGCAGGAGCUGCAUUGCCGCUGGCUCCUGAGGGCCAGUUUGUCGGUCACAGUGUCUGCAGAACAAAGGUUUAGUACUAUUUUGAUGUGGGAUACCAGAGUUCUCCAAACCUUGGCAAUUCAACCUCUGAAGUUUUAUAGUCUGACAUGAGCAAGCGACAAGGAAGUCACAUGUGCAACCAGAAGCUUUUACAUAAUGGAGCCAUCACACUCAAGCACAAACGGGGUCUGUAAGGACAAGCGAUUGCUCUUUUGAUUCUAAUAUAUUCAUAGUGGAAUAAAAAAAAAAAAAAAAAAAAAAAGCAAACAAAACAAGGGCGCCGUGUGUCCGUUUUCCCCUAAAAACGUCAAAACUUGAAGAUUACACUCAGGGGGCGGGGGAACAUGAUGCGGUCGCGCAAUGUCGAUCCCACGUCGUCAUCGUCGUCAUGGUUGUGUAUAAAAAUGGAAAACAUGAUUGUUUUAACUGGUCUACGGCUGUGUAGUGUCAUCAAUCCUAUAUGUAUAGUUGAAUUUGGAGUGCACUUAUAUCUUUAGCCUGCCUAUGUGGUAAACCUAAGAGCUGGUGGUGAAUUUGAAGGUGCGGAGGGAAUACUUGAAGCCCAGGGUGGGAAUACUUGAAGUGUUUUUUUUGGGGUUGUUGUCGAGGCGGUCCUUUUGGGUGUUUCAGUGUCCGUUUUGGUGUGCUUAACUCCGUAAUAACUUCACUCGCCGCCACCCUUCUUUCUGAUCUGCUUGUCUCACUUGUUCAUAAUCCGUACGUAGAGGGGAUGGGGGAGGGUGCGCGACUGUUAUGACAACGCUGCAUGUGCAUCUGCAGUACGGACAUGAAAUUUUGCAACGUGACUGCUUCAUGAUGGCAAUCUGAUCAAUCCCGUCCUCUACCUUAAUCCAAGCCCUUUUCCCCUCCUACUGAAUAAAUGCAAUGUGUGCACAUAAAGAGAUGUUUAUGGUUCACAAAUUGAUUUUCAAAAAUUUUACUAUCUGUUGAAAGACUGAAUACAUUUUUGACUUUUCUAUUGUUAUACUUGCUUUAAUUACCUUUUUUUUUUGCUUUUUGCUAUUGUCUCGACUUCACGUGUUGAGCCGGCAUGACAAAUGAUAUGAUAUUUAACAGAAAUACAAGAGUAUUUAUAUAAAAUGCUGGGAUCUUAUAACACGUUAUUUUAUGGGAAGUAAAUGAUUGUGAUUUUAAUUGAAAUUGACAUGAUUUUAAAUGCAUUCCUGUGGUUGGGAACGGUUACGUGUUUGUUCUGGGGAUGUUCUAAUUUGAUCAAUAAAUCUGAGUAUAACAUCA